AACGAACGCUGGCGGCAUGCCUAACACAUGCAAGUCGAACGAGACCUUCGGGUCUAGUGGCGCACGGGUUCGUAACGCGUGGGAACCUGCCCUUAGGUUCGGAAUAACUCCCCGAAAGGGGUGCUAAUACCGGAUAAUGUCUUCGGACCAAAGAUUUAUCGCCUUUGGAUGGGCCCGCGUUGGAUUAGCUAGUUGGUAGGGUAAAAGCAUACCAAGGCGACGAUCCAUAGCUGGUCUGAGAGGAUGAUCAGCCACACUGGGACUGAGACACGGCCCAGACUCCUACGGGAGGAAGCAGUGGGGAAUAUUGGAAAAUGGGCGAAAGCCUGAUCCAGCAAUGCCGCGUGAGUGAUGAAGGCCUUAGGGUUGUAAAGCUCUUUUAACCGGGAUGAUAAUGACAGUACCGGGAGAAUAAGCUCCGGCUAACUCCGUG
rnacentral:rRNA from 1 species